rnacentral:rRNA from 1 species
UACGUAGGGUGCAAGCGUUGUCCCGGAAUUAUUGGGCGUAAAGAGCUCGUAGGCGGUCUGUCGCGUCUGCUGUGAAAACUCAGGGCUUAACCCUGAGCUUGCAGUGGGUACGGGCAGACUAGAGUGCGGUAGGGGAGACUGGAAUUCCUGGUGUAGCGGUGAAAUGCGCAGAUAUCAGGAGGAACACCGGUGGCGAAGGCGGGUCUCUGGGCCGUAAACUGACGCUGAG